rnacentral:rRNA from 1 species
CACGUAGGGUGCGAGCGUUGUCCGGAAUUAUUGGGCGUAAAGAGCUCGUAGGCGGCUUGUCACGUCGAUUGUGAAAGCCCCGAGGCUUAACCUCGGGUCUGCAGUCGAUACGGGCUAGCUAGAGUGUGGUAGGGGGAGAUCGGAAUUCCUGGUGUAGCGGUGAAAUGCGUAGAGAUGUGGAGGAACACCGAUGGCGAAGGCAGCCCCCCUGGGGUAACACUGACGCUCAUGCACGAAAGCGUGGGGGAGAAACAGG